AGCAGCCGCGGUAAUUCCAGCUCCAAUAGCGUAUAUUAAAGUUGUUGCAGUUAAAAAGCUCGUAGUUGAAUUUCGGGGUUAGUAGGCUGGUCGUGCCACUGGUACGUACUGGUCUCACUGAUUCCUCCUUCCUGAUGAACCGUAAUGCCAUUAAUUUGGUGUUGCGGGGAGACUGGACUGUUACUUUGAAAAAAUUAGAGUGUUUAAAGCAAGCUAACGCUUGAAUACAUUAGCAUGGAAUAAUGAAAUAGGACGUUCGAUCCUAUUUUGUUGGUUUCUAGGAUUGACGUAAUGAUUAAUAGGGAUAGUUGGGGGCAUUAGUAUUCAAUUGUCAGAGGUGAAAUUCUUGGAUUUAUUGAAGACUAACUACUGCGAAAGCAUUUGCCAAGGAUGUUUUCAUUAAUCAAGAACGAAAGUUAGGGGAUCGAAGACGAUCAGAUACCGUCGUAGUCUUAACCAUAAACUAUGCCGACUAGGGAUCGGAUGAUGUUAAUUUUUUAAUGACUCAUUCGGCGCCUUACG
rnacentral:rRNA from 1 species